rnacentral:rRNA from 1 species
AUUGAACGCUAGCGGGAUGCUUUACACAUGCAAGUCGAACGAGUGGCGGACGGGUGAGUAAUAUAUCGGAACGUGCCCAGUAGCGGGGGAUAACUACUAGAAAGAGUGGCUAAUACCGCAUACCAUGGGAGCGGCCGAAAUCGGAUUAGCUAGUUGGUGUGGUAAAGGCUCACCAAGGCAACGAUCCGUAGCUGGUUUGAGAGGACGACCAGCCACACUGGAACUGAGACACGGCCCAGACUCCUACGUGAGGCAGCAGUGGGGAAUUUUGGACAAUGGGCGAAACCCUGAUCCAGCCAUCCCGCGUGUAUGAGAAGGCCUUCGGGUUGUAAAGUACUUUUGGCAGGGAAGCGGUAUCUGCAGAAUAAGCACCGGCUAACUACGUGCCAGCAGCCGCGGUAAUAC